UACAGAGGUCCCAAGCGUUGUUCGGAUUCACUGGGCGUAAAGGGUGCGCAGGUGGCUUGGUAAGUUUGAUGUGAAAGCUCAGGGCUCAACCCUGAAAUGGCAUUGAAUACUAUCGGGCUUGAGUUUUGGAGGGGGGACUGGAAUUCUCGGUGUAGCAGUGAAAUGCGUAGAUAUCGAGAGGAACACCAGUGGCGAAGGCGAGUCCCUGGACAACACCUGACACUGAGGCACGAAAGCCAGGGGAGCAAACGGG
rnacentral:rRNA from 1 species